AAGGAAUAUUGGGCAAUGGACGCAAGUCUGACCCAGCCAUGCCGCGUGAAGGAAGACGGCCCUAUGGGUUGUAAACUUCUUUUCUCAGGGGGUAAACUUCGGAACGUGUUCCGGACUGAAAGUACCUGAGGAAUAAGCAUCGGCUAACUCCGUGCCAGCAGCCGCGGUAAUACGGAGGAUGCGAGCGUUAUCCGGAUUCAUUGGGUUUAAAGGGUGCGCAGGCGGAUAUAUAAGUCGGAGGUGAAAUUCUGAUGCUCAACAUCAGCCGUGCCUUCGAUACUGUAUAUCUAGAGUCAAGUUGGAGUAGGCGGAAUGUGUUGUGUAGCGGUGAAAUGCUUAGAUAUCACACAGAAUAUCGAUUGCGAAGGCAGCUCACAAAGCUAAUAUUGACGCUGAUGCACGAAAGUGUGGGGAUCAAAC
rnacentral:rRNA from 1 species